UACGGGGGGGGCAAGCGUUGUUCGGAAUUACUGGGCGUAAAGGCUCGUAGGCGGCCAACUAAGUCGGAUGUGAAAUCCCCAGGCUUAACCUGGGAACUGCAUCCGAUACUGGAUGGCUUGAAUCCGGGAGAGGGAUGCAGAAUUCCAGGUGUAGCGGUGAAAUGCGUAGAUAUCUGGAGGAAUACCGGUGGCGAAGGCGGCAUCCUGGACCGGCAUUGACGCUGAUGAGCGAAAGCCAGGGAGCAAACGGG
rnacentral:rRNA from 1 species